rnacentral:rRNA from 1 species
CCUACGGGUGGCAGCAGUGAGGAAUAUUGGUCAAUGGCCGAGAGGCUGAACCAGCCAAGCCGCGUGAGGGAAGACGGCCCUACGGGUUGUAAACCUCUUUUGUCGGGGAGCAAAGCGAGUCACGUGUGACUCAUUGAGAUUACCCGAAGAAAAAGCAUCGGCUAACCCCGUGCCAGCAGCCGCGGUAAUACGGAGGAUGCGACCGUUAUCCGGAUUUAUUGGGUUUAAAGGGUGUGCAGGCGGGGGUGCAAGUCAGCGGUAAAAUUGCGGGGCUCAAGCCCGUACUUCCGUUGAAACUGCCUCCCUUGAGUGCGGGAGAAGGAGGCGGAAUGCGUGGUGUAGCGGUGAAAUGCAUAGAUAUCACGCAGAACACCGAUUGCGAAGGCAGCAUACCGGCGCGCAACUGACGCUCAUGCACGAAAGCGUGGGUAUCGAACAGGAUUAGAUACCCCGGUAGUC